UUCAUAGAAUCUAAAAAUAGAAAACAAAACAGCAAGGUUCUGCUGGGGCCCAUUUUACGAACCGAUCUUAGUGCUAAGAUCACCUUAAGUCCAUAACUACCUUAUGCAUUUAAGGUGAUCUUAGUGCUAAGAUCGGUUUGUAAAACGGGGCCUUCCAUGGAUGACAAGGUUAUUUUUGUCUUUAUAUAUAAGAGAACAGAAAUGGGGCCUUUCAGGAUAUCUGGAUUGAGGAAUUGUCCUAUGACAUGAUUUUUCACAAACAACAACACUCAA